CCUACGGGGAGCUGCAGUGGGGAAUAUUGCGCAAUGGGCGAAAGCCUGACGCAGCGACGCCGCGUGAGGGAUGAAGGUCUUCGGAUUGUAAACCUCUGUUAGCAGGGAAGAAGGGUGACUGUGUUAAUCAGCAGUGAAUUGACGGUAACUGCAAAGGAAGCACCGGCUAACUCCGUGCCAGCAGCCGCGGUAAUGCGGAGGGUGCGAGCGUUAAUCGGAUUUACUGGGCGUAAAGCGCUCGUAGGCGGUAUGUCAAGUCAAGGGUGAAAUCCCUGCGCUCAACGUGGGCACUGCCUUUGAAACUGGCGAACUUGAGUGUGUGAGAGGAUAGUGGAAUUCCAGGUGUAGGAGUGAAAUCCGUAGAUAUAUGGAGGAACAUCAGUGGCGAAGGCGACUAUCUGGCACAUAACUGACGCUGAGGAGCGAAAGCGUGGGUAGCAAACAGGAUUAGAUACCCCUGUAGUC
rnacentral:rRNA from 1 species